rnacentral:rRNA from 1 species
AUGACGCUAAUCAGCUGGAACUGUCGAGGAAUUGGGCAGCCUCGUACAGUUCGUGAGCUUGUGGGCCUAGUGCACACACACAAGCCUAAGUUAGUUUUUCUUUCAGAGACUCGGAAAAGCGAUGAGUACGUUAAUAAACUGAAAUGGAGGCUGGGCCUCAGGCACUGUAUUGUGCAACCCGGCAUAGGAAAGAGUGCCGGGAUUGCUCUGUUCUAUGAUGAGGGUGUUGAAAUAAAG